GUACGAGAAAGUGGAGCAAUCCAUGAGUAAAGUGGCGACCGGGUGAGUAACACGUGACUACCUACCCUCGAGUGGGGGAUAACUCCGGGAAACCGGAGCUAAUACCGCAUAACAUCGCAAGAUCAAAGCAGCAAUGCGCUGGAGGAGGGGGUCGCGGCUGAUUAGCUAGUUGGCGGGGUAACGGCCCACCAAGGCGAAGAUCGGUAUCCGGCCUGAGAGGGCGCACGGACACACUGGAACUGAAACACGGUCCAGACUCCUACGGGAGGCAGCAGUGGGGAAUUUUGCGCAAUGGGGGAAACCCUGACGCAGCAACGCCGCGUGGAGGAUGAAGCCCUUUGGGGCGUAAACUCCUUUCGACCAAGACGAUAAUGACGGUACUGGUGGAAGAAGCACCGGCUAACUCUGUG
rnacentral:rRNA from 1 species